rfam:Haemonchus placei strain MHpl1 genome assembly, scaffold: HPLM_scaffold0000300
GGCACAAACUUGAGGUAGAGUAGAUCAGUAUGGUCAUGGGACCCUAAUCAACUAUUCUGCUUCAAGUUUGUGCCC